CUUUCUUUUAGUCAUCCGUGAAAUUGCUACGUAAGAUUAUGUACGUGUAAGAUUAUCUUGUGCUGUGUUUUUCUUUUGCAUAUUUAUUACCAAAGAGCUUUUACGUAGUAAGGUUACGUAGCAAGUUAUCAUACACGUACACUUAAGAACUAAUGGCUCGGUAAGGAGUUCCCGUAGUCUUAUAACAAGAAAAUGACAAUAUGCAAUCCGAUGUUGCGCUGUGUUUCGCAUAUGGGCAAUGCAAUGCCGCCAUGAUAAAAUUGAUGUUGGAAUCUAUCGAUGUGGUACUGUCCGAUGAGGAGUUGCUUAUCUUAAUAACGGAUUGUAAUAAAGUUGAAGCUAUGAGAAGGUGAUGGAAAUAGUUCGAAUUGUAUAUAAUUCUCUGCAGACUUUAAUGCAUGUCAGGUUUUCUUUAUCAUUAUACUGGUAUACAUCGCGUGCUAUAUCUCAGAAUUGGGAUACUUGCGGAUUUCAAUAAAUAAUGUCAAACAAUA